CGUAAAGAUUGCAAUACCUGCGCUUGCUGUACUGCUAAACAACCCAAAAAAGAGGAAAUCAGAGGGGAAAAAAGGUACGUCUAAAAAAACAAAGAAGAACCAAAACUCAAAUAGAUAUUGGUCCGGUGAAUUCAAGAUGGAACGCAUUGCGGGACGCGCAAGUGACUGUUUUCCUUAUAGACAGGCUUUGGGCGAUCAGCAAUCAGCGCACCUGGACCUGAUGAGAGGGAGCUGUAUAAAGGACCAGUGGACCCAAGGAUCCAUGCGGGAACUUAGUUCUCAAUGGUGGACCUUCCUUCCCGAGUCUUAGCCCUUGGAGAUCCUCCGUGUUUUGCCUUCCUCGAUCCUCGACCCUCGCUCUGGACACGGACCUUGUGUCUUCUCUCCUGCCCUGGAUCAUCUGCCUGCCCCACAGACUGCCUUGUUCAUUCGCUCUCGACAACACUUGGUAACACACACUUCAGUUAACCUUACACAUACCCUCACACACACACACUCUUGGGUUUUGACACACACACCAUUCUAUAGUUUAUUUGGUUAGUAUUGUUUAGUUUAUUGUA